GAACUCUGGUUUCUUUUCAAAUUGUAUAAAUGUUUCAACUUUUACUAAAGAUUUCCAUGGAGAGGAACAAUUCUGAGUCUUAAUCCAGUUUUUUGAGGCCCUGCUUUUGCGGGGCU
ensembl:snRNA U5 U5 spliceosomal RNA